AUGAUGAUGAAGACAUGGUGACCAUAAAGAACUGCUCUGGGGAUUCUGGAACAACUGUUGGCGUUUCACGACACACUGUUGAGUCUUUGGUUGAUUACUCAGACAGUGAAGACGACAUUUUGUGUUCUAAAAUGAUGAUGACAUCUUAUAAACGGAUGAGACCUGCAACUCAUGAGGACUCUGAUAAUUACUCUGAUAAUUCCAGUGUAGAUGAGAGUACAGACAUUCAAGGUGACAUC